AUGAGAAAGCUCUUUGAUCUAAACAAAGGCUACAGAUGGUACUUUCAGCAUUUUGAAAUAUUCCGGAGGAUAUAUGAAGCCUAUCCUAGCCAAUCGAUUCUCCAUAGUAAUUCACACUUACUUUCAAGGCUAUUUUCAAAUUGCUUUUCAGAUGGGAAGUGCAAAGCCCACACUUUGCUCUUCAUAAUAAUCUCUCUGACAAUGUGUUCUUCUUUGUUGCGUGCAGAGCAUGGGACCGCGUCCAUGGCAUCAUAUGUCACAGGACAACAAACGGCACAAGAGAUCAUACGAGCAGACAUUCCCUAUGGCAUCUCAAGAGACUAG
rnacentral:rRNA from 1 species